rnacentral:rRNA from 1 species
UACGUAGGGUGCAAGCGUUGUCCGGAAUUAUUGGGCGUAAAGAGCUUGUAGGCGGUUUGUCGCGUCUGCUGUGAAAUUUCGGGGCUCAACCCCGAACUUGCAGUGGGUACGGGCAGACUAGAGUGUGGUAGGGGAGACUGGAAUUCCUGGUGUAGCGGUGAAAUGCGCAGAUAUCAGGAGGAACACCGAUGGCGAAGGCAGGUCUCUGGGCCAUAACUGACGCUGAGACGCGAAAGCGUGGGGAGCAAACAGG